GACGAACCGUCCAAACGUUAUUCGGAAUCACUGGGCUUAAAGGGUGCGUAGGCGGUCUGUUAAGUUGGGUGUGAAAGACCUCGGCUCAACCGAGGAAUAGCGCCCAAAACUAGCGGACUUGAGCAAGGCAGAGGUGAACGGAACUAAGGGUGGAGCGGUGAAAUGCGUUGAUAUCCUUAGGAACACCAGUAGCGAAAGCGGUUCACUGGGCCUUUUCUGACGCUGAUGCACGAAAGCCAGGGGAGCGAACGGG
rnacentral:rRNA from 1 species